rnacentral:rRNA from 1 species
AGUAAGACCCCUUGAAGAACACAAGGUUGAUAGGUCAGAGGUGUAAGUGCGGUAACGUAUGUAGCUGACUGAUACUAAUAGGUCGAGGGCUUGACCAA